AUUGAACGCUGGCGGCAGGCCUAACACAUGCAAGUCGAACGAGUGGCGGACGGGUGAGUAAUGUCUGGGAAACUGCCUGAUGGAGGGGGAUAACUACUGGAAACGGUAGCUAAUACCGCAUACCAUCAGAUGUGCCCAGAUGGGAUUGGCUUGUUGGUGGGGUAACGGCUCACCAAGGCGACGCUCCCUAGCUGGUCUGAGAGGAUGACCAGCCACACUGGAACGGAGACGCGGUACAGACUCAUACGGGAGGGAGCAGUGGGGAAUAUUGCACAAUGGGAGAAAGCCUGAUGCAGCCAUGCCGCGUGUAUGGAGAAGGCCUUCGGGGUUGAAAGUAAUUUCAGCGGGAAGGCGUUACCCGAAGAAGAAGCACCGGCUAACUCCGUGCCAGCAGCCGCGGUAAUAC
rnacentral:rRNA from 1 species